rnacentral:tRNA from 1 species
GCCUCGUUAGCUCAGUUGGUUAGAGCUUCCGCCUCUUAAGCGGAAUGUCACUGGUUCGAGUCCAGUACGGGGUAC